CAGGGAGGCAGCUGUGAGCCUGCUGCUUCUGGCUGCUUCAGGCUGGAGCCCAGGGCCUGGGUCGUGUUGCUUAGCAACGGGACCCCGUCUGGGCCUCUGCCCUCCCCACUCCUGUCCCCUUCCCCCAUCGAGACUCAACCCAGCUCUGGUUCCAGAGCCGAGGGAGUGGCCCAGGGGGAACUGGUGUAGAGCUUAGGGGCCGCUCAGGUGUAGAAGUGGCUGCCUUAUCUGCAUGUGACUUAGGGACCAGGAGGGCCCCAGGCAGCGACGAGGACAAGUCGGCUUCCGCCCAGGCUCUGCCAGCUCCAGUUCAAACGAGUCUUUCCGGUGGGGCUGCCCAGCCUGAUCUGCCCCGCCCCAGCCUCUCCUACCGGCCGGGAGACUUGCUGCACCCCGCCCAGGCCGAAGGCGAGCUCUGAGGGAGCGAAGGCCCCAAAGGAAGGUACCCCGGAGCCUGCCUAACCUUGACUCUGACUUGCAAUGGACCUUUGAUCAAGAAAGUUGGUCAGUUUCUCAAAAUGCAAAAUCGAUGGCGUUUCUUUGGGGUAUUCUCUUUGCUGGGAACGAGAGAAGAUGAACCAUUUUCUUAAAUUCUGUCUCGAUAGCCUCUUUCCAUUCAUGAUUCCCCUGCAGCCAGAAAGACCUCAGCAGCUUCAGUUUUAUGACUUUUGGAAAAUAUAAUUUUGAUGAAUUUUUA